rnacentral:rRNA from 1 species
CUACGGGCUGCUGCAGUGGGGAAUAUUGCACAAUGGAGGAAACUCUGAUGCAGCAACGCCGCGUGGAGGAUGACACUUUUCGGAGCGUAAACUCCUUUUAUAUAGGAAGAAGAUGACGGUACUAUAUGAAUAAGCGCCGGCUAACUCCGUGCCAGCAGCCGCGGCAAUACGGAGGGCGCAAGCGUUACUCGGAAUCACUGGGCGUAAAGAGCGUGUAGGCGGAUUAAAAAGUCAGAAGUGAAAUCCUAUAGCUUAACUAUAGAACUGCCUCUGAAACUCUUAAUCUAGAAUAUGGGAGAGGUAGAUGGAAUUUCUGGUGUAGGGGUAAAAUCCGUAGAGAUCAGAAGGAAUACCGAUUGCGAAGGCGAUCUACUAGAACAUUAUUGACGCUGAGACGCGAAAGCGUGGGGAGCAAACAGGAUUAGAUACCCCUAUAGUC